rnacentral:miRNA from 1 species
CUCAAAAUCAGCCUUGGAAAUUUGUUGAAAUGCAGAUUCCGAUGCAAUGUAUAUGUGGCAGGGCCUGAGAGUCUGCAUUUCUAAUAAGUUCCCAGGUGAUGCCGGU